GAUGAAGAACGUAGCGAAAUGCGAUAAGUAAUGUGAAUUGCAGAAUUCAGUGAAUCAUCGAAUCUUUGAACGCACAUUGCGCCCUUUGGUAUUCCGAAGGGCAUGCCUGUUCGAGCGUCAUUAUAACCACUCAAGCUCUCGCUUGGUAUUGGGGUUCGCGGUCUCGCGGCCCCUAAAAUCAGUGGCGGUGCCUGUCGGCUCUACGCGUAGUAAUACUCCUCGCGAUUGAGUCCGGUAGGUGACUUGCCAGCAACCCCCAAAUUUUUCAGGUUGACCUCGGAUCAGGUAGGGAUACCCGCUGAACUUAAGCAUAUCAAUAAGCGGAGGG
rnacentral:misc_RNA from 1 species